AACGCGAAGAACCUUACCAGGUCUUGACAUCCUCUGACAACCCUAGAGAUAGGGCUUCUCCUUCGGGAGCAGAGUGACAGGUGGUGCAUGGUUGUCGUCAGCUCGUGUCGUGAGAUGUUGGGUUAAGUCCCGCAACGAGCGCAACCCUUGAUCUUAGUUGCCAUCAUUUAGUUGGGCACUCUAAGGUGACUGCCGGUGACAAACCGGAGGAAGGUGGGGAUGACGCCAAACCAUCAUGCCCCUUAUGACCUGGGCUACACACGUGCUACAAUGGACGGUACAAAGAGCUGCAAGACCGCGAGGUGGAGCUAAUCUCAUAAAACCGUUCUCAGUUCGGAUUGUAGGCUGCAACUCGCCCACAUGAAGCUGGAAUCGCUAGUAAUCGCGGAUCAGCAUGCCGCGGUGAGUACGUUCCCGGGCCUUGUACACACCG
rnacentral:rRNA from 1 species